rnacentral:rRNA from 1 species
GUGGCGAACGGGUGAGUAACACGUGGGCAACCUGCCCCUGGACUUCGGGGAUAACUCCCUCGAAAGAGGAGCUAAUACCGGAUACGACCACUUCGGACAUCCGAUGGUGGUGGAAAGUUUUUCGGUCAGGGGAUUGGGCCCGCGGCCUAUCAGCUAGUUGGUGGGGUAAUGGCCUACCAAGGCGACGACGGGUAGCCGGCCUGAGAGGGCGACCGGCCACACUGGGACUGAGACACGGCCCAGACUCCUACGGGAGGCAGCAGUGGGGAAUAUUGCGCAAUGGCGAAAGCCUGACGCAGCGACGCCGCGUGAGGGAUGAAGGCCUUCGGGUUGUAAACCUCCUUCAGCAGGGACGAAGCGAAAGUGACGGUACCUGCAGAAGAAGCACCGGCUAACUACGUG